CGGAACACGUACACAACCUUCCGAUAAGUGGGGAAUAGCCCAGAGAAAUUUGGAUUAAUACCCCGUAACAUAUAGAGUAGGCAUCUUCUUUAUAUUAUAGCUUCGGCGCUUAUUGAUGGGUGUGCGUCUGAUUAGGUAGUUGGCGGGGUAACGGCCCACCAAGCCUACGAUCAGUAGCUGAUGUGAGAGCAUGAUCAGCCACACGGGCACUGAGACACGGCCCAA
rnacentral:rRNA from 1 species